UAAAAGAGACCAUGGGAAGUUGUAGUAUGUUCCCGAUGCUGAAGAUAGCUGAACAGUGAGUUCUUCAAUCCCAGGUGUAAGCUGAACAGUGAGUUCUUCAAUCCCAGGUGUAAGCUGAACAGUGAGUUCUUCAAUCUCAGGUGUAACAGCUGUCUGAAGCCACCUAUCAACAUUGCUGACCAUGGCAUUGGAAUAACGGAAAACAAUCCUGAGUGUCUUCACACCAAUGCGUGAGCGGUUUUUUAAGAUG
rnacentral:lncRNA from 1 species